rnacentral:misc_RNA from 1 species
CAAGGAGGUCUGAUUAAGGAGACAUGGAUGGAAGAAGAUCCAAGAGAAGCUAUUCUGAAGUAUGCUGAUGUUGCAGCAAAGGAUCCAAAGUACAUUGCACCGGCGUAUUCGCAUACUCAGCCGGAAACCAUUUUCGCAAAGUCUGAUUCCGAGGAGGAAGAGAAAUGAUCAUGUUCUAUAGUUCUCCUGUUUGGCUUGGCAUUGCUGCUGUUGGAGAUUGUUGGCCGAGCUGCAGAUCCUUCGGCCAUGCCGGAGUGGUGGGAGUUUCGCCAGUCUCAAGUUCGGUUUGAUAUAGCAGCCUACUUGACAACCAGCAAGAAUUUAGGUCUGAAAAGGUAUAGUUGUAG